ensembl:lncRNA
GAGCUGUUGCAGGAUGGGGGGAUUCUAGCAGCUUCCACCCUCGGCCUCAGCCUGGACCUCCUUCACGACAGAGUCUCCAGGGCCUAAGCAGAUGUCUGGUCACCACAACGGAAACUGAGAAGGAUUGCAGUUAGGAGCCACAGUGACCUGUGGUCUCUAGUCCGGAUGGCCCUGUGGGGAGCACUCGAGGAAGAAGAGGCUGACCGGCCCAAAGAGAUUUGCAGUUGAUGAUGUGCUGGCCAACUAAGUCCCAACACCCACGAAACUAUAAAAUGCAAAAGCACAAAGGCUUGGGGAAGAUGGCAAGUUAUAACAGAAUAAAGAAAGAUAUCAGGAGGAACAACUCCAGUUCCAGGAUCUUUUUCCAGAUAUUAGCUGGCAGUUCACCCCUCCUUCCACCUGUAGUACCAGCCAUUCAUGCCACUAUCCUGCCAACAGACUAUAGACACAAACUCAGGUUAAGAAUCGUUGCUGAUUUUUCUAAAAGAGAGACUUUGAUUCCAUUUUACUUCAUGCUGUAAACCUGUGUUUGGAGAAGACAAUGGCACCCCACUCCAGUACUCUUGCCUGGAAAAUCCCAUGGACGGAGGAGCCUGG